UCACAAUGUGGUCAGUGAAAUGUCUUGCAUAAUUUCCUCUUCGUGGUUCAAAGUUCGCUGCAACUCUCCACUGGGAGCUCACCCCGCCUGAUCACUGUGUGGAGCAGCUCUGCCAGUCCACAGCUUCUUCCACCUGACUUGUCAGCAUGCAUCAAGUGUAUCAGAGUAAUUUCUAGAUUGAGAAAAAGAAGGGGACAAAAUCCGUGCAAUGUGGACCUCAACUCACCGCAGCCAGUUCUGCAGGUCAGCGUCAGCAAAGGUCUACUGUGCUCUAAGAAACGUGGAGCUCCUCUGCAUAGCUGUGCUGACCUUGGUUGGGUGAAGUUGAGCAGAGAACAAUGUGACCAAGUUCUCUGAAUAAAGCACCGCAUGUGUAAAAAUUUCCACAAGCUUGUUGCUCUUUCUCCUUUUGAUUGUGACAAAGACAAUGGCCAGCGAGAAUUUGGGAGUCAGUUUUACAGAAGGCAGAACUGCUCUGACCAGACUACAUUUUCAGAAAGAAGGCAGACACCCACCCUCUCCUGCACACACUCUGCUCUUCUCCCUUUCUGCCUCACACCUCCCCCACCCUGGAACUGGCCAGCAAAAUCGCCUUCCGGGGUGGUGGAGCCAUUAUAUUCUGGAUCUCUCCAUUGCGGCAUCUUCGUCUACCCGACUCAUCUCUUUCUUGUUUGGCAUUCCAGACACGACCCCCCACUGGAGGUCAGGCUCCAGAAGAAAAUAUGGCAACCGCCACAAGUCAUCAAAAGUAACAUGGAAAUGAGAACAGUCCCAGAGUUUUUCAUAGAUAACUCACCACCAACUGACUUACGGGGAAGAUGUUGGCUGUCUGCUUCUCUGCCACAUCGUAAGCUUACAUCAGAGCAAGUUGAACUAUAUCUUUUUAAAAUAUUUUUUCGAAGGAGCCCUGGUGCCAGGUUGCUACAAUAUAUAUCAGAGUGGAAGCACAGCCAACAGAGAAGAAACUACUCCCAGCUCUCAGCCCGCCAGCCCAUAGGGAUGGCAGAGAAGGCUGUCAAUGGGCUGAACUCUAAGCAAAGGGCACAGGGGAGUAGAAAAGCGGAAGAAAAGGGUGAGAGAGAAGGAAACAGGUCAUGAGCUAAGAAAAGAAUACAAAUUAUUAGUUGUGGACAGUGUUGCUAGUAAUCAGCUCAAGGCCUCUUAGCCUGUUUAUACUCAUGUUCCUCAGGUUUAUCUCUUUCCAGUGACAUCAUCUGGACAUAUAUUGGUGCUGGGGGCUCUCAGUGAUGACAGGGUCCACAACAGGCUCUGUUGAUUCCUAUAGAGUCCCCUGGCACUGGCCAUCCUUUGAGUAAACAUGGCAGCAUGGAUGGUACCUAUGAUAGAAAAGACCACCCACCUGUACAU